GCAGGAGCCUCCUCCUCCCGCCGGCGCGGCGCCUGUGCCCUGGUCCCGGUGUCCCCGCUCGGUGCCACCGAAGGAUCUAGGGGCUCGGGCCGGGGAGGGGGUGGAGGGGGGAGUGGAGGCGCGAUACGAACCCGUGGGAGCCUCCCCAACCCCGCAGUCCCAGCGGCAAACUGUGCUUGGUCGGACGGAUGCCCGCGCGGAGGGGUAGCCACGGGAGUGCCUCCGCCCAUGACAGCAGUGUGCAGGAAGCUGACCUGGAGCUGGGAAGCCGGGAGAAGGCACGUGGGGUUCCACCUAGAUAAACCCCAAAAAGACAGCUCCAGUGAGGGACUAGCAAACCUGAGACCAGCCACCAGCCUCUGAGACAGCGCUGGACCCCAAGACUCUGCAGGAUUCGCCUCAGUGCAGAGGCUCUGGAUUCUCUGGCUCUGAGGCGAGAUGGGAGCUGUCCUCCCAGUGGUGCUGAAACUCGGGCUGCCUCCGUUGGGGUCACCGACAGAGGCUCACUUGUUCAGGCACUUCCUGGGUCAGCCUUUCCGCCUCUGAGACGGGCUCUCCCAUCUCAGAUGGGAGAUUCUGCCUGGAAGGGAAGUAGUCCACGCCAUCAUCAUUCCCCGAAACCUUAAUAGCCACCUAACUGGAUUCACCACUUCUCGUCUUGCCUCCUCAAUUCAUUCUCCGCUCAGUACCCAGAGUGGUCUUUUCAAGAAGCAAAUCUGAUCCUAUGUAAAGUACUCAUAUGGUUUUCCAUAUCAUUCAGAAUAAAACUUAAACGUUCUUGCUAGAGCUAA